UUAAUUUUGAUUAAAAUAUGGUACUCAGAUCAAGACACGUUUAAUUAAGAAUUUGUAAAUUGGCCACCGACGAGCACGGACCAGAGAGCCUGUGACAGCUCCCCGGCGGUCCAUAGCGGACGGGCUCGCCGAAGCAACGAUGGUUUGGUAAACAUAGGGUUGGGAGGUCGGGCCUAGAAGACCCUAACUCAUUAAUGAUCCUUCCGCAGGUUCACCUACGGAAA
rnacentral:misc_RNA from 1 species